rnacentral:rRNA from 1 species
AGUGAACGCUGGCGGUAGGCCUAACACAUGCAAGUCGAACGGCAGCACAGUAAGAGCUUGCUCUUACGGGUGGCGAGUGGCGGACGGGUGAGGAAUACAUCGGAAUCUACUUUUUCGUGGGGGAUAACGUAGGGAAACUUACGCUAAUACCGCAUACGACCUACGGGUGAAAGCAGGGGAUCUUCGCACCUUGCGCGAUUGAAUGAGCCGAUGUCGGAUUAGCUAGUUGGCGGGGUAAAGGCCCACCAAGGCGACGAUCCGUAGCUGGUCUGAGAGGAUGAUCGGCCACACUGGAACUGAGACACGGUCCAGACUCCUACGGGAGGCAGCAGUAGGGAAUAUUGGACAAUGGGCGAAAGCCUGAUCCAGCAAUACCGCGUGGGUGAAGAAGGCCUUCGGGUUGUAAAGCCCUUUUGUUAGGAAAGAAAAGCAGCAGGUUAAUACCCCGCUGUUCUGACGGUACCCAAAGAAUAAGCACCGGCUAACUUCGUG